rnacentral:tRNA from 1 species
AAGACUUUAAGUUAAAAAAACUAGUAUCCUUCAAAGUUAAAAAUAAAGAAGUUCUUUAAGUCUUA